UAGAUUGGAAUUGUCUUUUGUAGAUUUAAAGUCUAUAACUAGGUAGACUGGAAUAUUGGUUGCUAUAAUCUGCUUGGUACCAGCCCUUGCCUGAAACAAUCAACAUUUGGGGCAUUUUUCCUACCAAUAAAGGAGGCCGGCCAGUCGCCAUAUGACUUGACAAUCAACUAAACAAUUGUUUCUAGUUUAGCUAAGGGUUUGUUUAAGAUAUGAUCAAUGUUAACAUUUUGAGAUUGGAAUGUUGUUUUGUUAACCCAGUGACUUUUCAGUAAACCUAUAGACCAUGGAGUCUGAAUGGCUUAAGUGGCAUUAAAUGUGAUGAUGGAUAGAUGUCAGGAAAUGGAUGGUAAAAGCACACCUGUGACAGAGUAAUGAAGUACUUGACAUGCAUGGUGGAAGUUGAUCGAGACUAUCAAUUCUUCGAGAGGUCCAGCGACUUUAUACUCGCAAGAAGGAUAUGGUAUGGAAUAGCUUUCUACACCUCUGGGCUGGCAGAUUUGUAAGAUUGGAAGUUGUUUCAGUGUGGAGAGAGAUGAACACUUUGUAUGGUCAGUGAACCCUUGCAACAUGUUGGCUGGAUUUAUGUCGGAAUGUGUGUGGCUGUGUGACAUUGGUGAAGUGAUUUUUAUGACAUUGGUGAAGUGUGAUUGUGCUGGAAAGUGACAUGAUGGAGCAUUGUAAACCUAUAGACCAUGGAGUCUGAAUGGCUUAAGUGGCAUUAAAUGUGAUGAUGGAUAGAUGUCAGGAAAUGGAUGGUAAAAAGCACACCUGUGACAGAGUAAUGAAGUACUUGACAUGCAUGGUGGAAGUUGAUCGAGACUAUCAAUUCUUCGAGAGGUCCAGCGACUUUAUACUCGCAAGAAGGAUAUGGUAUGGAAUAGCUUUCUACACCUCUGGGCUGGCAGAUUUGUAAGAUUGGAAGUUGUUUCAGUGUGGAGAGAGAUGAACACUUUGUAUGGUCGGUAAAAUUUGCUUUUGAAGUCACAAGUAAGUCUCAAUAAAGGCAUUUCCAUUUCUAGUUUUCUAACUAGCUAUGUAUUGAAAAGUUGGUGGUUCUACUCUUAAAAGGUGUCUGUCUUUGUCCCAAGCAAGUCUCAAUAAAGCCAUUUCCAUUACCUGAUUUCUAACUAGCUAUGUAUUGGAAAGUUGAUGGUUCUACUCUUAAAAGGUGUCUGUCUUUGUCCCAAGUAAGUCUUAAUAAAGCCAUUUCCAUUUCUUGUUUUCUAACUAGCUAUGUAUUGGAAAGUUGGUGGUUCUACUCUUAAAAGGUGUCUUGUCUUUGUCCGGAACAAUGUCAUUAAGGCACAUUUUCCUCUACCUUUAAAGCUUGACAGUCACCAAAAUAGAACAUAGAAUUGUAUCUGUUUAAUAGAAAAAAUGCUUAGGUUACAUUGUUACUUUUUGAGAUUGCAAUGUUGUUCUGUUAACCCCAGUGACAUUUCAGUGAACCCUUGCAACAUGUUGGCUGGAUUUAUGUUGGAAUGUGUGUGGCUGUGUGACAUUGGCGAAGUGAUUUUUAUGACAUUGGUGAAGUGAGAUUGUGCUGGAAAGUGACAUGAUGGAGCAUUGGUAAAUGAUCUAUUUUGAAUUUGUGUAAGUCAUAGGACAGCUGGAGUGCAACAUGUAUGGAGGCUCAAUUUUUCAAUAGUUUAGUAAUAAAUCAGUUACACAUUCAGUAGAUUGGAAUUGUCUUUUGUAGAUUUAAAGUCUAUAACUAGGUAGACUGGAAUAUUGGUUGCUAUAAUCUGUUUGGUACCAGCCCUUGCCUGAAAUAAUGAACAUUUGGGGCUUUUUUCCUACCAAUAAAGGAGGCCGGCCAGUCGCCAUAUGACUUUACAACCAACUAAACAAUUGUUUCUAGGUUAGCUAAGGGUUUGUUUAAGAUAUGGUCAAUGUUAACAUUUUGAGAUUGGAAUGUUUUUUUGUUAACCCAGUGACUUUUCAGUAAACCUAUAGACCAUGGAGUCUGAAGGGCUUAAGUGGCAUUAAAUGUGA